rnacentral:tRNA from 1 species
GCCUUCGUAGUGUAACGGUUAGCACACUCGGCAUGUAUUUCGAGAGGUCCAGGUUCGAGUCCUGACGAAGGCA